rnacentral:pre_miRNA from 1 species
UUUGUACUCCCUCCGUCCCAAAAUUCUUGUCUUAAAUUUGUCUAAAUACGGAUGUAUCUAGUUACAUUUUAGUGUUAGAUACAUCCGUAUCUAAACAAAUGUAAGACAAGAAUUUUGGGACGGAGGGAAUAAUAC